CAUGAAGGUAGGAUCUUGUUGUCUUCUCCACUGGUGGGGUCUUGCUGUUGGCUUUCCAUGGAUAAUCAGAUCUCUCUGCUGAUAGACCACAGAGGUGAUGAUCAUUCAGUGCAAUACAAUUUAAUGGCCAAAUUCUUCUGAGAUUUAUUGGUGUCAGUCUAGGAAGAGGAGCAUUUUUUCUCAAGAUGAUGAAACAAGGCUCAAAGGCAUUAAACACCUUGAUCUGGCUGUACAAUUAAAUGUUAGAGGUAGGCUUUCAGACCUAGAU